rnacentral:rRNA from 1 species
UACGUAGGGGGCAAGCGUUAUCCGGAUUUACUGGGUGUAAAGGGAGCGCAGGCGGCGUGGCAAGUCAGAUGUGAAAACCCGGGGCCCAACCCCGGCGAGCCGUUGAAACUGGCGGGCUGGAGUUGGAGAGAAGUACGCGGAAUGCGCGGUGUAGCGGUGAAAUGCUUAGAUAUCGCGCAGAACCCCGAUUGCGAAGGCAGCGUACCGGCGCCCAACUGACGCUGAAGCACGAAAGCGUGGGUAUCAAUCAGG